GUAAUUAGAACUCCUAUGGUAUGGAAAUGCAGGAAAUGGCAUAGCUCGACAUUGGCAAGGUGGAAUUAGACUAGCAAAGGCAUGUCAAGCGGAACGUGUGUAGACAAGGAACUGAGCAGUGAUGAGCGUUAUGUAGAAAGACAAGAUAAAAGAUGAACAACAGAACAACAAGCAGCAGUAGCAGAACAACAGAGUGCAGCAGACAGAAG
rnacentral:lncRNA from 1 species